UAUGACUCAACACGAUAUUACUAAAGUUGUAGGAGCAAUUUACAAGAAUUCGUAUGACCCAGCCGAUGAGGAAUAUAUCAUAAAUGAAUUCCUUCGGCGAUUAAAUGAGGCAGCGAAUACAAAUAUUGAAUAGAAGUUGAUUUUUCGUCGGGAAUAUAUGCUAACAAAGCCAGCUUCAUAGAAAACUAAAAUCGAAUGAGGAAUCUAUUAGCGUUGGUUGGCUAUGCCUGAUAACUAAAUAUUAAUGAAAAUAAAGCUGACCAAUUGAAACAGACAAUCUAAAACGGAAACUUUCUCAGUUAUGAGUGUGAAAUCUUACACUAAAUGUAGAUAUAGUGAGAUUUUUGUACGUUUUAGUGAGUUUUUUGGUAGUUUUUGCAUGUUUUAGC